UACGUAGGGCGCAAGCGUUAUCCGGAAUUAUUGGGCGUAAAGAGCUCGUAGGCGGUUUGUCGCGUCUGCCGUGAAAGUCCGGGGCUUAACUCCGGAUCUGCGGUGGGUACGGGCAGACUAGAGUGCAGUAGGGGAGACUGGAAUUCCUGGUGUAGCGGUGAAAUGCGCAGAUAUCAGGAGGAACACCGAUGGCGAAGGCAGGUCUCUGGGCUGUUACUGACGCUGAGGAGCGAAAGCAUGGGGAGCGAACAGG
rnacentral:rRNA from 1 species